GGCGUGGUUCGACAAGAUGGUGGUCUUUGUACAGUGUCGUCAUUUCGUCUUUGGAAAACUUUCUCCACUCACGGCCACAACGAGAGAGAAAAUGUUUCCGCAAUCCUUUGCAACACAGAAAAAAAUUGUGGGCUAUUUAAGAGUUUGUCUAUUUGGAGAAAUACUCAUAAAAUUUUCAAUUUGAUGCAAAUCUAAUUAUGAUUGGCUGAAGAAGAUUGUUUUGGAAAUUGCUAAUUGACUUUCAGGUUAUUUAAGAGUCUACCAAUUUGCAGAAUUACUUACGAAAUUUUCAAUCUGAUGAAGAUCUAAUUGUUCGUGGCUAAAAAAAGAUCGAUUUGGAAAUAACGUAUUCGCUACAUGUGUCAUUUGAAACAAAGACCAAGCGUCAUAAUUAUUCUACAUGGGAAUUAAAAGUAUAUUUUGGAAGUCUAAACCAUUUGUAAAAAAAUUGAAGUAUCGAGUCAGUGGAGUGAAUCGUAACAUUGGUAAUUUGUAAACCAGAAAUUCAUAAAAACCGCCAAGUGAUAAUUCUUCAUAAAUUCGCUGCCAAUGGUGCUGUCUUCUUCGAAGUUUGUCCCCCUCUCCACCGUCAAGAGUAGUUGACAUCGCAAAACGAUAUACGUGGAAUUUGGCGAAUAAUGGUUUGCAGCCUUCAAAUAGUGAUUGCCCUCGGUAGUGUCGUGUCGGUUUUCGGAAAAAACACCGCAAAUUUC